CGCUGAUGGGCUUCACUGUGGGAGCUGUCGGUCUUCUCAUGAUCCCCAGAGUCAUCAGAAUCAGCAGUCCCUUCUGAACUACUGCCUGCUGUUCUCUGCAAACACCAUGUAAACAGCUAUAUCACCACGCACAGACAGCAUGCAUGGCUGUUAGACUUUGUUAACUGGAGAGACUGGGAACAUGAGGAGGAAGAUGGCAUUGCAGAAUAUAAGCAGUAUGUGGAUAUGCUUAAUAAAACGAAGUACAAAAGAGAGCCUCCUGCAAUGGAUAUAAUGGACAAUCUUAGUGACUGACAGAGCACCACUGCCCAUGAUGAGCCUGGACAGUUUUCUAAAAUGUUAAAUGAGCAGUAAAAGCCAAUUCACAUAGCCCCAAUAAAUUUGCCAUUGUGAGCUAGACUAGACACACUAGUGUGUGUAAUAUGAAUGACUCAUGUAAGUGUAUGUAAUAUGUAACUGUCUUUUAUAACCUUUGUUACAAACAAAUGUGACCCUGGAGCACAAAAGCAGUCUCAAGUCGCUGGGGGUAUAUUUGUAGCAAUAGCCAAAAAUACGUCAAAAAUUAUAGCUUUUUCUUUUAUGACAAUAGGAUAUUACG